AUUCUAAUGUUGACUUUCAGGAUUCAAGUCUGUAACACUGUCAGGUCUCCACUAUGCGGAAGUGAAAUAGAGCUAAACUCAACAUUUGUAUUCAAAGCGGUCUUCUUCAAUUUUGAGAAAUAAGCAAACAUCUAGUAGAAAAAUUACAUAUCCAAGACUAAUAAACUAUAAAGUUUUUGCAAAUUAGUAAUAAAAGUUAUUAAACCACUUCAAGCGAUUGCUGUCGUCUGGUAUCUGAAGCUGUCUCAAACUUGACUUCUAGAAUCUGUAGUCAUGUUUGUCUGAAGAGAUCCAAAUAAAGUGAGCGACGAAGAAGCUCAAAGCGAAACUUUACAUCGUGUCGACAUCAGAGGCACCUAUAACUCGGUGAAGUGGCAGUCUCAUUGUCUCAUCAGGUGCACAAUUGAGUGUAUCACGAUGUUUCUGAUACGAUCUCUGAGCACGGUGGAGCAACCGAUUUUUCUACACACAUCGUACCUAUGGACACGCCGAUUCCAUUCUAAGCUUUAUUCUGUUUAUUCGCAUUUGCCACUUAAGGACUUACACAAGGAAGAAAGCCGAUACAUCAUUCAAGAUCGACAGAUCUGAUCAAAAGUCACAGACAGGAUUUGAACCUGCAAAAACUCAGACAUAAAGUUCACGCCUAAGACUGCUUGGCAACCGGCUCUCCCUAAAAUAAAACUUCUUGAUCACCUCGAUAUCAUUCAUAUUUACCAAUAUGCAGGGGUAUAUACUAUAUAGAUAUUUAUUGUGACAUGUUUAUUUAAGUGUUUAUAUUAAAUUUAAAAAAUACUCUAAGGACCCAUAGUUAUAAAAAGAUUUCAAAUUAAGAUGGAUAAAUAACUUGUUUCCUGAGUCUAGUUUAGAAUAUAGAAGGAGCUGUGAA